rnacentral:rRNA from 1 species
CACGACUCUCGGCAACGGAUAUCUCGGCUCUCGCCACGAUGAAGAACGCAGCGAAAUGCGAUACUUAGUGUGAAUUGCAGAAUCCCGUGAAUCAUCGAUUCUUUGAACGCAAGUUGCGCCUUGGGCCUCGGCCAAGGGCACGUCUGCUUGGGCGUCGCAUUCAAUUAAGCGCCCCUGUCCAUGCUCGGGCAUUGGAGCGGAGCUGGCCGUCUGCGCCUCCCCUGGCUCGGUUGGCUAAAACGGUUUUCGGAUUCCCGUCGUCCCGCACUGGUGAGCGGUUGUCUGGCUGCCUCCGGGGAAUAGGCCCGCGCGGGCCAGUGCAGGAGGCGGGCGGUGUUUCCCCUGCGGCCCCUCCGCCUGUCGCGCCGCGGUUCUCCGACGUCGUGCUUACAGGCCCAUUUCAUGCGACCCC